rnacentral:rRNA from 1 species
AUUGAACGCUGGCGGCAUGCCUUACACAUGCAAGUCGAACGGUAACGCGGGGCAACCUGGCGACGAGUGGCGAACGGGUGAGUAACGCAUCGGAACGUGCCCUGAAGUGGGGGAUAGCCCGGCGAAAGCCGGAUUAAUACCGCAUGAGACCUGAGGGUGAAAGCGGGGGAUCGCAAGACCUCGCGCUUUGGGAGCGGCCGAUGUCAGAUUAGGUAGUUGGUGGGGUAAAGGCCUACCAAGCCGACGAUCUGUAGCUGGUCUGAGAGGACGACCAGCCACACUGGGACUGAGACACGGCCCAGACUCCUACGGGAGGCAGCAGUGGGGAAUUUUGGACAAUGGGGGAAACCCUGAUCCAGCCAUGCCGCGUGCGGGAAGAAGGCCUUCGGGUUGUAAACCGCUUUUGUCAGGGAAGAAAUCCUUUGGGUUAAUACCCCGGGGGGAUGACGGUACCUGAAGAAUAAGCACCGGCUAACUACGUGCCAGCCGCCGCGGUAA